CAUGACUCAGGUGGACUCCCUACAGGUAAGGUGUUUUUUCUCUGGUCUGGUGGAUACGGUGUUAGUUGUGUUGUGGUGCCACAUGGAGCAUGACUCAGGUGGACUCCCUACAGGUAAGGUGUUUUUUCUCUGGUCUGGUGGAUAAGGUGUUAGUUGUGUUGUGGUGCCACAUGGAGCAUGACUCAGGUGGACUCCCUACAGGUAAGGUGUUUUUUCUCUGGUCUGGUGGAUAAGGUGUUAGUUGUGUUGUGGUGCCACAUGGAGCAUGACUCAGGUGGACUCCCUACAGGUAAGGUGUUUUUUCUCUGGUCUGGUGGAUAAGGUGUUAGUUGUGUUGUGGUGUCACAUGGAGCAUGACUCAGGUGGACUCCCUACAGGUAAGGUGUUUUUUCUCUGGUCUGGUGGAUAAGGUGUUAGUUGUGUUGUGGUGUCACAUGGAGCAUGACUCAGGUGGACUCCCUACAGGUAAGGUGUUUUUUCUCUGGUCUGGUGGAUAAGGUGUUAGUUGUGUUGUGGUGCCACAUGGAGCAUGACUCAGGUGGACUCCCUACAGGUAAGGUGUUUUUUCUCUGGUCUGGUGGAUAAGGUGUUAGUUGUGUUGUGGUGUCACAUGGAGCAUGACUCAGGUGGACUCCCUACAGGUAAGGUGUUUUUUCUCUGGUCUGGUGGAUAAGGUGUUAGUUGUGUUGUGGUGUCACAUGGAGCAUGACUCAGGUGGACUCCCUACAGGUAAGGUGUUUUUUCUCUGGUCUGGUGGAUAAGGUGUUAGUUGUGUUGUGGUGUCACAUGGAGCAUGACUCAGGUGGACUCCCUACAGGUAAGGUGUUUUUUCUCUGGUCUGGUGGAUACGGUGUUAGUUGUGUUGUGGUGCCACAUGGAGCAUGACUCAGGUGGACUCCCUACAGGUAAGGUGUUUUUUCUCUGGUCUGGUGGAUAAGGUGUUAGUUGUGUUGUGGUGCCGGACAGUGCCAAGUGACUCACUAGUGUUAUUCACAAACCUGAAGUGCGUAUGUGCUGCUGUCAUACGUAUUUACUAUAAUCAUGAAAUACGACUAAAGUAGAAAAUAGUGGAGUCUGGUAGGAGGAGCUAUAGGGGGAUGCGCUCCUUUUAUUGGUUGGAAUGAAACAGAAAACAAACGCAUCAAACAUAUGGAAACCACGUUUGACUCCAUUCCUUUCAUUCCAUUCCAGAGAUUACAAAGAGCCCCUAUAGCGCCUCCCGACAGCCUCAGCUGGUAGAAACUAACCUAAUGUUUUACCAAAAGCCAUGUUUCAUCAUUAGUAUUCACUCAGGUUCCCAUUAACGUAAGCAAGUAAGCCUUGUCCAAUGGCCAAUAAGGGCAGCUAUAUCCUGUUCCUGUAGCAUGAGACAACCUGAUGUACAAUUACACCCCUUGGACAGGACGCCAUUAGUGAUACUUCAUCAGUCAUUUCCAACGGUGUACAAAAUAGUGAACCGAGGUGUGUUGUGU